UGGAAAAUGAUAUGCCAACUUCACAGACACCAUCGAAAUAAACUUGAUGAAUGUCGACAAAUUGGACUUAUACAAAAGAAACAAAAGAAAUUGGCGAGGACAUUGAUGAAUUAGAUAUUGAUUCAAGCAUUAAUCCUGAAGCUAAGCGUGUUUGCAAAAACCACCUGCAGUGGUUACGAUACAAUACAGCACCUUGGUCGUCUGUCAAAGAACAUUGGAAUGGAUCUCGUGAAUUAAGACAAAGUUUCAUAAAACAAUAUGAAGGAAGCGUUUUUGAUAUUUUUAAUAAAUAUCCAGUACUCAAACAGGAAUUCGGUUACAUGCUUAUACGCAACAAUUUUUUUUUAAUUUGUAUUAUAAUGUUUCUUAUUUCAGUUGGAUAUUGAUUACGAUGCUUUAAUCGAUGAAAAAUCAAACAUUUACAAUGAGUUGCCCGAUUUGUCUAAGAAAUUGAAACAUUACUGGAAAAUCGAGUCAUAAAAGAUAAAAUCUUUGCUAAGCAACUGGAAGAAAUCCAACUAUACAAAGAAGAUGAUGUACAAAACGUAGAGAUGCUGCAUUGCUUUUUUUAACCCUUAAAUGCCACACCUCUCAAGAAUCUCGUAAGUUCACUGAGGGGUCUAAAAGACCCCAGCAUGAAAAAUGUCUCCUUACUCAUUGAUUUUUUUAUCUUUAGUUAUGACAAUUUUUUUCAAUGUUGUUCAAGGUCUAGAGAAGAGUAUAAAAUGCUAAUAAUAUUGUUCAAAUUUCAAUUUUGACAUAGUAUAAAAAAUUAAAUAAACUGAGUACUGCUAAGUGUA